UACGGAGGGUGCAAGCGUUGUCCGGAUUUAUUGGGCGUAAAGCGCGCGCAGGCGGUCUCUUAAGUCUGAUGUGAAGGCCCACGGCUCAACCGUGGAGGGUCAUUGGAAACUGGGGGACUUGAGUACAGAAGAGGAAAGUGGAAUUCCACGUGUAGCGGUGAAAUGCGUAGAUAUGUGGAGGAACACCAGUGGCGAAGGCGACUUUCUGGUCUGUAACUGACGCUGAGGCGCGAAAGCGUGGGGAGCAUACAGG
rnacentral:misc_RNA from 1 species